rnacentral:rRNA from 1 species
UACGGUAGGUGGCAAGCGGUUGUCCGGAUUUAUUGGGUUUAAAGGGUGCGUAGGCUGGCCUAUUAAGUCAGUGCUGAAAUAUCCCGGCUUAACCGGGAGGGUGGCAUUGAAUACUGAUGGGCUUGAGUAGAAGUUGAGGUUGGCGGAAAUUCGACGGUGUAGCGGUGAAAUGCUUAGAGUAUCGAUCAAGAACACCUAUUGCGAAGGCAGCUAACUAAGCUCAAACCUGACGCGUGAGGCAACGAAAGGUGUGGGGAUCAAACAGG